rnacentral:rRNA from 1 species
GACAGGAAAUGGCACCCUAUGUAAAUCUCCUUCGACGAGUCGAGUUGUUUGGGAAUGCAGCUCUAAAUGGGAGGUAAAUUUCUUCUAAAGCUAAAUAUUGGCGAGAGACCGAUAGCGCACAAGUAGAGUGAUCGAAAGAUGAAAAGCACUUUGGAAAGAGAGUUAAAAAGCACGUGAAAUUGUUGAAAGGGAAGCGCUUGCAAUCAGACUUGUUUAAACUGUUCGGCCGGUCUUCUGACCGGUUUACUCAGUUUGGACAGGCCAGCAUCAGUUUCGGCGGCCGGAUAAAGGCUCUGGGAAUGUGGCCUCCACUUCGGUGGAGGUGUUAUAGCCCAGGGUGUAAUACGGCCAGCCGGGACUGAGGUCCGCGCUUCGGCUAGGAUGCUGGCGUAAUGGUUGUAAGCGACCCGCUGA